rnacentral:rRNA from 1 species
GACGAACCGUCCAAACGUUAUUCGGAAUCACUGGGCUCAAAGGGUGCGUAGGCGGAGAGGCAAGUCAGAGGUGAAAGCCCACGGCUCAACCGUGGAAGUGCCCCUGAAACGGCCUCUCUCGAGGGAGAUAGGGGCGUGCGGAACUCAGAGUGGAGCGGUGAAAUGCGUAGAUAUUCUGAGGAACACCGGUGGCGAAAGCGGCACGCUGGGUCUUUUCUGACGCUGAGGCACGAAAGCUAGGGGAGCAAACGGG